rnacentral:rRNA from 1 species
CCUACGGGAGGCAGCAGUGGGGAAUAUUGGACAAUGGGCGAAAGCCUGAUCCAGCAAUGCCGCGUGAGUGAUGAAGGCCUUAGGGUUGUAAAGCUCUUUUACCCGGGAUGAUAAUGACAGUACCGGGAGAAUAAGCCCCGGCUAACUCCGUGCCAGCAGCCGCGGUAAUACGGAGGGGGCUAGCGUUGUUCGGAAUUACUGGGCGUAAAGCGCACGUAGGCGGUUAUUCAAGUCAGAGGUGAAAGCCUGGAGCUCAACUCCAGAACUGCCUUUGAAACUAGAUAACUAGAAUCAUGGAGAGGUGAGUGGAAUUCCGAGUGUAGAGGUGAAAUUCGUAGAUAUUCGGAAGAACACCAGUGGCGAAGGCGGCUCACUGGACAUGUAUUGACGCUGAGGUGCGAAAGCGUGGGGAAGCAAACAGGAUUAGAUACCCUGGUAGUCCACGCCGUAAACGAUGAUAACUAGUUGUUGGGCUCUAGAGCUUCAGUGACGCGAGCUACGACAUUAAGUUAUCCGUCCGUCGGGUAGGUACGGUCGCGAGAAGUUAAACGUUAAAGGUAAAGUUAGUACGGUUACGUUAGUAGACGUUGCGACGGCGACGACGAGGGAGGAGG